GACGAACGCUGGCGGCGUGCUUAACGCAUGCAAGUCGAACGGAAAGGCCCUGCUUGCAGGGUACUCGAGUGGCGAACGGGUGAGUAACACGUCGGUGAUCUGCCCUGCACUUCGGGAUAAGCCUGGGAAACUGGGUCUAAUACCGGAUAGGAGCCAUUUUUAGUGUGAUGGUUGGAAAGUUUUUUCGGUGUAGGAUGAGCUCGCGGCCUAUCAGCUUGUUGGUGGGGUAAUGGCCUACCAAGGCGGCGACGGGUAGCCGGCCUGAGAGGGUGGACGGCCACAUUGGGACUGAGAUACGGCCCAGACUCCUACGGGAGGCAGCAGUGGGGAAUAUUGCACAAUGGGCGCAAGCCUGAUGCAGCGACGCCGCGUGGGGGAUGACGGCCUUCGGGUUGUAAACUCCUUUCGCUAGGGACGAAGCUUUUUGUGACGGUACCUAGAUAAGAAGCACCGGCUAACUACGUG
rnacentral:rRNA from 1 species